CGAUCGUUUUUGAUCCCGAACCCUUCUCCCAACUCCUCAUCUCACGCGACCUUCUCCAUCUAACUCCUCUCCAGCAAACCCCUCUCUGGCGAACCCCUCUCCGUGAACCACUACUCCUCCGAACUCCUCUCCGUCAAGACCGCGGGAUUAAUCUCUUCGCCUCCGUCACCUCAUUCACGCUUCCUUCACACUGCCCAAUCUCUUUGACCACACCUUCGUCAAGCGGCAGAUCCCGGUGCUGAGGCGAUCAACCAUGACAGAUCGACUCAUCUCUUCGCCUCCUUCGCCCCUGACGUUGAGACAGUGUAACCACAGCAGAUCCCAUUGUCUUCUGGUAUGCUACUGUAACCCCAAUGAUUCGUACAAAAGGCUUUGCACCGGAAAAGAAGUGGCGUCUCCUGCCUCCGUUCCUCUUGUCUUGGCGGCGACAGUGAGGCUCUUUGCUUGAGCUCUUCCCGAUCGCCUCGCUUGUUUGCCUUCUUCCUGUCCUCCAUGUGAGGUGACAAAUUCUCCUAUUUUUGUUCCUCCUUCCCUCGACUUCUCUCACCUUUCUCGUCAGCUUAUUUGAUGGCGUCUGGAAUUUUCUUGCUCUGGUGAUAUGAAUAUGAGACGGAGUGUUCCUUCUCGUUUGUGGUCUGCGCCAAUGCUUUCCUCGACGGGUUGCUUUAGGUUUUCCUCGGCGAUUUGGCUUUUCGGCGCAGGUGUUGAUCUUCUAGGGUUUCAGGAUUUAUGCGGUUUGGAACUUUCAAUGCUUAGUUAGGUUUUUUGGUUCAUAAUGCCGACAUCUGAAAGAAAAGGUGUGUUUUGCGUGUUUAAAUCUGCAAAAUUACAUUUUUCUGCGAUUCCUAAUUCUCUAUUCAUCGAGCAUUGAGUUGAGUUUGAGCUCUUCGAAACGGUGAUUGUGGAGAAAUACUUGAGGAAGUUGUAGUUUUUCCUUUUUACCUUUCACAAAAGCCGGCAGUUUCUUUCCCAGUCUAGUAUGUCGGUAGUUUCAUGAAUCUGCCAUUUUGUUCCUUUUUCUUCAGAUCUCUCAUAGUGUUGGCGGUGGGGACAAGAGGUUAGUCUCAUGAAGCUUUGAAGCUGCCAGAACAGUUGUCAUUUUAAAUUGAGUUGAAAAAUUCGAUCAACAGAGCAUUGUGCUCCUUGUUAUGGUUGUUGCCCCAGGCAACAGCAGCAAUCUAGUGUAUUAUGUGGUUUCAUUUUUUACCUGAGCAUUUUCCUUGGUACGGUUUUCCAAGGGACUGGUUACAUCUAUCUGGGUUUUGAUUUGAGUCAAAGGCUACAAUGAAGAUGUUAAAUCCUUAAAUAAAUUCUGUACUCCAUGUGUGUUUUCCUUCUUUACUUCGGCAGACUUUGUGGUGGUAGUCAUGUCCAAGGAACUGGUUAGGUCGGCAGCUGCACAACAAGAAGAGCGCAUGCUAUCCGCAAAGCUUCAUCAGAUGACAAUGCUGGAUUCAUGAUUGAUAUGUUAAAGGAGUGUGGAUUAUCUCACAAAUCAAUAAUUUUUGUCUUGGAUGAGUUUGAUCUUUUUGCUAAGGUACGUGUAGUAACUUUUAGCCACUCACAGAAUUCUGUGCAAGUACUUCUUUACUUGCUUAUGUUCCCUUGUCAAUCCUCCUUUGUUGUUCCAUUUUUAUCUCAUUAUGCAAUGGCCUUUGCCUUAUUCUAAAUCUUUGAGCUUUUUGAUACAUGUGUAUGUAGGGAAAACAACGUUUACUUUAUAGUUUGCUUGAUGCAAUGCAAAUAAUGACUUCACAGGCCGUAGUUAUUGGUGUUAGCUACCGACUGAUAUGUAGUCUCCACAUCUCUCAUUUUUCUUUACAUUCAUAUUCAUGUCAAUAUACACUGGGCCACCCACAUUUUUUUAAUCUCUUUUAAAAAAGACAAGUAAAAGGAAAAAAUAAGGAAACAUUAAAGUUAAGAAAGUGGAAGGAUACUAAACAAUUGUUUUUAUGUAUAUUAUUAUUCUUAUUAUUCCACUUUUUGACUCCUUAAUUUUUCUUCCAAGCAUUGCUGGUUAUACUUGAUAAAGCCUCAUGUCUUAUAGGAUGCAGACUAACUUCUUGAAAAAAGAGUUCAGUGUAGGUUUUGUCCCAGUCUCAAGCCGACAAUCCUUUUUGAUUAGUAUAUCGAGUAGAAGUAAGCAUGCAGAUCGCUAUCUUCGAGGACCUUGAUUCGAGAUGAGCAUCUCAACGUGGGAUUUUCUGAUAUGAUUUCCACUUUUGAGGUUGAGGCUGUUAGGAGAUUCCAGUCGCUAGUCCCCCACCUUGUGUAGAUAUGGUUUUCUACUUUCAGACUUUGUUUCCUUGUUUUGUGAUCAACAUACUUGUGAUGUGUAGAUAUUGUACUCGUGGAUUUUAUAUAGAGUUUUGAUCUA